CUGCACAUUUCAUUGUCCCAUUCUUUUCUUGUAAGAACUGAGAUAUUUCUAAUGUGCUAGAUUAAUAUUGGAGGUUAAUUAGCGGCUUGGCGCUGAUGUGCUAAUGCUGCCAGUCCCCUUCGUACAAAA